GACGGAGGAUGCAAGUGUUAUCCGGAAUCACUGGGCGUAAAGCGUCUGUAGGUGGUCAAAUAAGUCAACUGUUAAAUCUUGAGGCUCAACCUCAAAACCGCAGUCGAAACUAUUAGACUAGAGUAUAGUAGGGGUAAAGGGAAUUUCCAGUGGAGCGGUGAAAUGCGUAGAGAUUGGAAAGAACACCGAUGGCGAAGGCACUUUACUGGGCUAUGACUAACACUCAGAGACGAAAGCUAGGGUAGCAAACGGG
rnacentral:rRNA from 1 species